AUCCUGGCUCAGGAUGAACGCUAGCUACAGGCUUAACACAUGCAAGUCGAGGGGCAUCAUGAAGUUUGCUUGCAAACUUUGAUGGCGACCGGCGCACGGGUGAGUAACGCGUAUCCAACCUUCCCCUUAGUAGGGCAUAGCCCGGCGAAAGUCGGAUUAAUACCCUAUGUUCUUCGUUGACGGCAUCUGAAAUGGAGCAAAGGUUUACCGCUAAGGGAUGGGGAUGCGUCUGAUUAGGUAGUCGGCGGGUAACGGCCCACCGAGCCUUCGAUCAGUAGGGGUUCUGAGAGGAAGGUCCCCCACAUUGGAACUGAGACACGGUCCAAACUCCUACGGGAGGCAGCAGUGAGGAAUAUUGGUCAAUGGACGGGAGUCUGAACCAGCCAAGUAGCGUGCAGGAUGACGGCCCUAUGGGUUGUAAACUGCUUUUAUGCGGGGAUAACGUGAGGGACGCGUCCCUUAUUGCAGGUACCGCAUGAAUAAGGACCGGCUAAUUCCGUGCC
rnacentral:rRNA from 1 species